GAUAAGAUGGCCUUGUGGUUAAAGCAUUGGACUAUGAUUCUGGAGAUCUGGGUUUAAUUUCCAGCUUUGCCA
rnacentral:tRNA from 1 species